rnacentral:lncRNA from 1 species
UAACAUUAAGUAGUGUACAUGGUGGUCAUUCAGAUGAUUUUAACAUUUCAAACAUACAAUCAUUUCUUUAAGUAGCAGUGCAGAUGAGAGAAGAACUGAGAUCUUCAUUCCCUCCACUUUUUGGAAGCAAUUUCCCUGUUAAAGAAUAAUCUUUAUUGUAUAUCACAAGAAAGAUAUCUUUGAUUGACUUUUAAUACUGCCCAAUAGAUGGCAGUCAUACACACACAGGGCUAUGCUUCAAAGCCAGGAAAUUAGCACAGCCAGAACCAGAAGCGGGUCCCUGGAUGAAACAGUGAAAGUUCAGCAGCUGAGCUGCAAGAUCACAAGACUGCUGUGGAGGGACAGAUCAGCAGGAGGGAGCCAGGCAGACAUGGAUAUAUUUGCACAGGCACUGGGAUUGGAAUCUGUGUUGCCUUUCACUCAGAGAAUGGAAGGGAAGGAUCUAAACUGACUCCUCGGCCAAAGAGCCUAUGUAAAACUCCUCUGGGAGCUUUGUCCAAGGGCCUGUUGAUGUCAUUCAGCCUGGGAGUUGCAGGACAGAGAUGGAAAUGCAGGUCCUCACUCAAUUCCAGUUCUCCAUCUCUGGAUAGUUCAUUGGUGGAGUACUAUCCAGUUUCUGAAGGCCACGUUGUUUCUGCAGAUUGUUUUGAUACAAUGGGGUUAUCCAGUGGCAGUCCAUGACUGAUGACAGAUCACCUUCUAGUUUGCUAUCCAUACUUUUCCGGCCAGCGCCCACAUUCUUCUGCGUUGCAGCUCUUUUCAUUAUGCAAUAUGCCCUGAUGCUCCCUUUCUGAUUUUGCCCUCUGAAACUUACUGAUAUCAAUUAGAAAGAAUCUUUCCUGAUGGGAAUGACAGAGGACACCCCGUCCCUAUGGCUUCAAGAUAUGUCAAAAGUGAAAAGACACAAAAGCAGAAAUACUUGUUGUGCAACUCAACUGCUAGACCUCCAGCAACACAUCACAACAGUGGAGCCGUGGGAAAGUAUUUAUUUUACCUGUAGGUAUAAUUAUAAGCAAUAAAAAAAAAUCUGUUCAGACCCUGCCA